UACAGAGGGUGCGAGCGUUACUCGGAAUUACUGGGCGUAAAGCGUGCGUAGACGGCUAUCUAAGUCGGUUGUGAAAGCCCCGGGCUCAACCUGGGAAUUGCAUUCGAGACUGAAUAGCUAGGGUGCGGUAGAGGGAAGCGGAAUUUCCGGUGUAGCGGUGAAAUGCGUAGAUAUCGGAAGGAACAUCAGUGGCGAAAGCGGCUUCCUGGACCAGCACCGACGUUCAGGCACGAAAGCGUGGGGAGCAAACAGG
rnacentral:rRNA from 1 species